UACAGAGGGGGCAAGCGUUGUUCGGAAUUACUGGGCGUAAAGGGCGCGUAGGCGGCCCGCUAAGUCGAACGUGAAAUCCCCGGGCUCAACCCGGGAACUGCGUCCGAUACUGGUGGGCUCGAAUCCGGGAGAGGGAUGCGGAAUUCCAGGUGUAGCGGUGAAAUGCGUAGAUAUCUGGAGGAACACCGGUGGCGAAGGCGGCAUCCUGGACCGGCAUUGACGCUGAGGCGCGAAAGCUAGGGGAGCAAACGGG
rnacentral:rRNA from 1 species